GACGAACGCUGGCGGCGUGCCUAACACAUGCCAGUCGAACGGUAAAGCCCUACUUUUCUUCUCUGCUUGAGUUGCGAACGGGUGAGUAACGCGUAAGUAACCUGCCCUUGACUUUGGGAUAACUUCAGGAAACUAUAGCUAAUACCGGAUAGGAGCUCCUGCUGCAUGGUGUUUGUUGGAAAGUUUCGGCGGCUUGGCUUGGACGCGCGGCUUAUGUGUUUUUUGGUGGGGUAGUGGCUUCCAAAGGCCUUGGCGGGUAGCCAGCCUGAGAGGGUGACCGGCCACAGUGGGACUGAGAAAGGACCAAGACGGAUACGGGAGGAAGCAGUGGGAAAUAUUGCAAAAUAGGCGGAAGCAGGAAGCAACAACGUCGGGUGCGGGAUGACGGUUUUAGGGGUGUAAACCGCUUGAGCGUGUAAAGAAGAGUGAGUGACGGUAAUGGAUAAAGAAGCACCGGCUAACUACGUG
rnacentral:rRNA from 1 species